UCCUCUCUUUUUUUUUUUUUUUUUUUUUUUUUUUUUUUUUUUUUUUUUUUUUUUUUUGUGAUCUUCAACUAAGCAGAAAAGAUUAACCGAGGUCUCGGAGCAGCAAGUUCAGCAAAAGUUUGCCUUUUCUGUAACACCAUCCUGCUGUUGUCCCCAGGGACCACUGGGAUCAGGAAAUAGUGCCAGCUGUCAGGAUUUCUGUCUCUGAUAAGAUGAGAUGACCCACCUUAUUACACCGAGACCAGCAGUAGACCCUUCUGCGAGAUGAACUCGGAUGUUUAUUAAAACUCCAGGCUAAACUGAGGGUCAAAUCAUACAGGAGACAGAUGCUCAUCAAUUCCUACUGGAUGCAAGCCUUUAUUCCAUAUCAAGGGGUGGAGGGAUUUUACCUAAGUUGUUCUGUCGUGUUAACGAUCCUGCCCAGCGCCUGAUCAAACACUAAUCAUUGCCACCACUCUAAUCCAGAUGUAAAAAUCAUCUGAGCAUCGCUUACAGGGGCUCAGAAACACUGCCCUGCCUUCCACAUGUUGCCUUUGCAGGAGCCAUCCACAUGGAAUUUUACAGCACGCCAAGACCGAGACAUGUAAAGUUUUAUCCAAGUUGCACACACUGUUAAUAAAGACUAAAAUACAGAAACUUUCAUUGUCUGAAGAAAUUAUUGGUAUAACCUUGGUAUCCUGAUUAGUUUGCAAAUAUUAAAAGUCCCAUCAAGACAAAUAUCAGCAACAUGCAAAUACCCUUGCAGGUUGUGAUUAAGAUUUUAAAUGUAUCCUUUUGCUUUUAGUUAAUGAAAAACAAAGUCUUGGAGGAUCUAAGUUGUAAUUUAUUAAACAUGAAAGGCUCCUUGAUGAAAUAUAGAAAUGAGAUAUAUUUUGCAUUUCAAAGAUUUAAGCUGACAACUUACUUGCAUGCAAAUAAGAGCAAGAUUUGUAAAAAUAUUUGAAAAGAAAUUAUUCCUGAAUGUACUUAUUACAAUAAUGUGGCAUGUAGAUAAGAGAAACACACAGCAUUAAAAGACAUUCAUUUCUCCAAAGUCUUAAAAUUAGCUUCUUUCUGCCAUUGUGUAUUAAUGUUCUUCUUCAGGAAUGCAGCAUAUUAAAGAACUGAACAGAAUUAGUAAUAAAUUUGUUAAUUACAAAUUUAAGCAACACAACUGUGUUGUUUUCCCAAUAUGUUUUUUUUCAAAAGCAGAAUUGCUAAUGCAUUUUAAUCAUUUAUGUAUAAACAUUUGAGGAUAAAAUAUUCUGAAGUUUAUCAAUUUCAAGAGCUGUUUAUUUGCUGGCAAAAUAGGGCAUGUUAUACAACAUAUAUCUUAUCAUUUUUGCUCAUCAAAUCCCCAUUUGCUGAAUGCAAAUUUUUCUGGUCUAAGUGCUCUUGCACCUCAAUUUAAAUGAAUAAUAGGAUAGACUCUAUUAAAAUCGGUUUAAGGUUGCCAUGGGUGACAUAUCAGUAGGGUUAAAAUGAGAAAAAAGGUCACAGAGGCAGUCCUUACAACCUGUUUUUUUUAUUAUUAUUAUAAUGAAGCAUAUGUAAGUAUCUAUGUAGGUUUAAAUGACAACAUAUUGAUAUUGUAGACAAUACUUAGUUUGGAGGUCUUUUUCUAUUGUGUUUUUUUUUUUUUUUUGAACUGCACAGUACACAGCAAAUAAAUGUGAAAUUAUAGUGUCAUCAAUAACUCCGGGAAUGGAUUCAGUUGCUCUGAAAAUUAGAGAGUAAAGCCUCAGUGCAAUAACACUGUAGACUGACAGAUUGUGGAUUUGUAGAAAUAACAGAGAACUCAGAAAGAGCCUGUACUUUUGCUGUGGCAAAUCCUUCAUUUCAAGGAACCAGCAAGGUACUGUAAUCAUAUUAACAAAGCAGCCAGAAACUAUACCCAAACACCUCAUUUAAGAAGAAUUUGGAGUCUUCAGCUAACCUGAUUUAUGGGAUUAUGCAUGCAGUUAUUUGAUAAGUAUUGAAAAUACUACCACUUCACACUGAAGCCUUCCUUGAUCUAUCUUUUUGUGUCUGUGUCAUAGUCUUAUCCUGUUUAAAGCUUAAAAAAUACCACUUCUGUCCGUUCUAAAGACUUAGAGAAUAAAGUAAAAUCACAACUUUCCUGAAUUUUUUUUGAUCCUUUAAAAGUCAAAAUUUUUUUUAGUAGUCUCCUUAUUACUCACUUUUUUUUUUUAUAUUAUGCAUGAUUUUUACUUUUCUCUCACAGAGUCAGAUUUUUGAUAGGAGGAAGGACUAUAUUUCCUCUUUUUUUUUUUUUUUUAACCUACAAUAAGAUGAAAAACCCCUUAUUUGCUAAGGUUACAGUGUUGGUUUAAUUUUCAUAGGAGCAGUGGAAUAUUUUGAAGUGAGUAACAUUUACCAAGUCAUUAGUUUUAUGCAAACUAGGGAGGAAGAUGAAAGAAAAAAAAUUAUCAAUUAUUUAUAGAUUGUUAAAAUGUAUCGUAGUGCAGUGCUACUGUAUAGAAAUGACAAUUAGCCAAACUUACCUUCUAUAAUUAAUAAU